rnacentral:rRNA from 1 species
CCUACGGGGGGCAGCAGUGGGGAAUAUUGGACAAUGGGCGAAAGCCUGAUCCAGCCAUGCCGCGUGUGUGAAGAAGGCCUUCGGGUUGUAAAGCACUUUCAGUGGGGAAGAAAGCCUUGGGGCUAAUACCCUCGAGGAAGGACAUCACCCACAGAAGAAGCACCGGCUAACUCCGUGCCAGCAGCCGCGGUAAUACGGAGGGUGCGAGCGUUAAUCGGAAUUACUGGGCGUAAAGCGCGCGUAGGCGGUCUGAUAAGCCGGUUGUGAAAGCCCCGGGCUCAACCUGGGAACGGCAUCCGGAACUGUCAGGCUAGAGUGCAGGAGAGGAAGGUAGAAGUCCCGGUGUAGCGGUGAAAUGCGUAGAGAUCGGGAGGAAUACCAGUGGCGAAGGCGGCCUUCUGGACUGACACUGACGCUGAGGUGCGAAAGCGUGGGUAGCAAACAGGAUUAGAUACCCUGGUAGUC